AGUUGGAGAGAGAUGGACUGGCAAAAUAUCUCCGUCAGCCCUUGGCCACCUCCAGUUUCCCUUUCCACCUCUCCAAUCUCCACCGCCGCUGCCGCCCCGCCCCCUCUCGGUUUCUCAUGCUGCCGCUCCGACGAAGAGCGCGCCGCUGGUGCUUAGAUUCCGGGGACAUCUCAUGGUCUUAGUUGACGGAAGGAGGGGAAGAGCAGCCGCGCCAGGCGGCAUGCCUUGCUGUGCCGCAUGGCAGCCGCUGCCCCAUGCUUUGCCGGCGCCGUCUCAUCGUCUUCAUAGACAUGCGCAUCUCUGUCAGGACCGCGCGUCCAUGCCUCCCCAUCUACCGGGCUGGAGUGGCCGCCUACUGGUUGAGGCAUCGCGCGGCAUCGAACGUCCUCGGCUGCUGCCGCUGCUGCUGGCCGGGUCCCUCCUCUCGCUCCUGCCGAGGCUGAGGUGAGCACCAUGAACAUGAUGUUAGUGGCUGAUAUAGAGAGAUCCUCGAACAGGGAAGUAGCAGUUCUGGAGGAACUCGAAGAUGUCAUGUUUCAGUUUUGAUGUGAAUCGCUACAACAACAAUUAGAAGAGACUGUGCAUUGCAGGUUCAGAACCAAUUUCUAUGGAUGAUUGACAUACGGAUCUUAGCGAGAUUCAAGGGAACGCGUGAUGUGACUGUGCCUUGUAUAAGCAAAUCUAAGCUGUUGAGUUACAAGUGUCCUUUGCUUAAUGGCUGAGUUUCUUUUGCUCGAGCCAGACCUGCAAGCCCGAUGUAAAACUCACUGCGUGCACCGUGUCGUGGCUUAGUCUCUUCGAGUUUCAGCGUUGACAUCACAUUUCUCUAACUGGCUUGCUUAGCCAUGGACAGUGAGACCACCCUUCAUUGAUUUCUUCAUCUAUAUGUUUAUUCUAGGCAUCAUGUCUUUGUUGGCUGCACAAUUGUUCAAACUCUAUCCUAGCUGUAGGUUUAUUUGAGGGAGAUCGAGUAGGAGUGUUUAUUUUCUAUAUAUAAAAUGGAUUCAACAGCCAACUUUAGUCAAGAACAAACCAUUAUUGUUUUUACGGUUUUAUGAGGUGUUGCAAGAUUGAUUUGAGUUGUUCUCAUUUAUGGUUUUCAGAUUAUUCUAUCCUGAAGUAUUGGUUUAUUACUGAGGAAGCCUUAAACAGAGAAGCUGAAUGCAGUUUUUGUAUCUUUCGUCAAAGUCCUGAAUGGUCCAAUGAAAAUCUUGCGAAGAGUGAAAGCCACAACUUGACGAGGACAUUCUCACGGAAAAGCCUUGUAUGAUAAACAUCCAAUUCAAUGCUAUUGCAUGCUUCUUCGCCUAUGACCGGCAGAACACAAUGUAUAGGAUGUUUGGACAAAGAGCUACAAGGAGAGCACUCUUCAACGAUGGCAAUAUCCAAUGAAGUUGCAAAUUGUUGGAUGUAUGUAUAUGUGUACCGAAGUUCAGUUGAAUCCCUAAGGAAGAACCAAACAUUUAUUUCUAUCUUAUUAUAUGCUAUCUUAAAUGCAAAAGUGUGAGCUAUGUUAACAACUGUUUUAGUAUGAUGUUUGGAAAUGUUAAUGAUUACAGUUUUUGCACGCUCAAGUA